CACGGGUGAGUAACACGUAUGCAAUCCACCUGUAACAGGGGGAUAACCCGGAGAAAUCCGGACUAAUACCCCAUAAUAUGGGCGCUCCGCAUGGAGAGUCCAUUAAAGAGAGCAAUCUUGGUUACAGACGAGCAUGCGCUCCAUUAGCCAGUUGGCGGGGUAACGGCCCACCAAAGCGACGAUGGAUAGGGGUUCUGAGAGGAAGGUCCCCCACAUUGGAACUGAGACACGGUCCAA
rnacentral:rRNA from 1 species